UACGAAGGGUGCAAGCGUUACUCGGAAUUACUGGGCGUAAAGCGUGCGUAGGUGGUUUGUUAAGUCUGAUGUGAAAGCCCUGGGCUCAACCUGGGAACUGCAUUGGAUACUGGCUUACUAGAGUGCGGUAGAGGGGUGUGGAAUUCCCGGUGUAGCAGUGAAAUGCGUAGAUAUCGGGAGGAACAUCUGUGGCGAAGGCGACACCCUGGACCAGCACUGACACUGAGGCACGAAAGCGUGGGGAGCAAACAGGAUUAGAUACCCCCGUAGUCC
rnacentral:rRNA from 1 species